CACCCUCCCAGCACCUAUUGUGAGGUUAGAACUGAUUUCUGUGAUUCACCAACCCGUUUAUCAAUUCGUCCCUCCCAGCAGUCCCAACGUGUUCAGAGCUGUCUUGAAGACAUGCUUUCACGCGAAAGGUGUUUGUAGACGGUAAGACAGCCUUUCCACCACGCACUGCGGCUCACUGAAAUGCGAGAAGCAUGCAGGAGGUCCCCGGUGCUCAGAUACCAAGGAAGAGCAUUGUGACAGACUCAGCCGCUCUCUGAUAUUGAUGCUGAUAUCAGAGACAGAAAAUAACUUGUACAGCAUUUUGAGUUAGGAUAUCUAUGCAGCUUUCUAGCUCUGACAUCUUACACGUUCAGCAGGACAGAUUCAGACAGCGAAAGGUUUACUGCUAUAGGAGGACUGGACUUUAUGCCACUUUGUAAGUGAAGCAGAAUGGUCCAAAGCAGUUCCCCUCACCACAGAAAGAAACAUCACAUAACUGUACAUGCGUUUUGAAACCAAAAACAGAAUUAAUCCAUUAGAUUUGACUAAACGCAAGUCUUCAGGGGAAUCUUUUUCCUGUCCACACAUCAUGGGAUAAAGGCCCAGAGUCCUCGGCAAGUGUGAGUAGCCAGGAGUUGGAUCACAAAUUUGGGAUCUGAAUGCCCAACCUUAGAAAUAUAUAUAUAGUUCUAAUAAUUCCAUGAAAGUAAUACUCAGGUGGUCAAUUUCAACAAUUCAGAAUAAUUAAAUCCUCAGUCUAAAACUUUUUCUGCCUUAUAAAUUGGAAUUUAGACACCUAAUUUUUGUUGGUCUGCAAUUAUAAGCCCUU
rnacentral:lncRNA from 1 species